AAUCAACGCUGGCGGCGUGCCUCAGACAUGCAAGUCGAACGAUUAAAGCUCUCUUCGGAGAGUGCAUAAAGUGGCGCACGGGUGAGUAACACGUAAGUAAUCUACCCUCGAGUGGGGAAUAACGUUCGGAAACGGACGCUAAUACCGCAUAAUGCAGCGGCACCGCAAGGUGACAGUUGUUAAAGAUUUAUCGCUUGAGGAGGAGCUUGCGGCAGAUUAGCUAGUUGGUAAGGUAAUGGCUUACCAAGGCUACGAUCUGUAACCGGUCUUAGAGGACGGUCGGUCACACUGACACUGAAUAACGGGUCAGACUCCUACGGGAGGCAGCAGUCGGGAAUUUUGGGCAAUGGGCGAAAGCCUGACCCAGCAACGCCGCGUGAAGGAUGAAGUAUUUCGGUAUGUAAACUUCGAAAGAAUAGGAAGAAUUAAUGACGGUACUAUUUAUAAGGUCCGGCUAACUACGUGCCAGCAGCCGCAGUAAGAC
rnacentral:rRNA from 1 species